rnacentral:tRNA from 1 species
CCGGCGCGCUGGGUGGGCCAGGAGCGCGCGCCUUUCGCGGAGGCCCCGGUCGUGGUCGGCGACCGGCUCGUCGCGCGCCGGG